AAUAACACCCCUUAAGAGUCUUAUUCUGCCAACACCCAGCUUAUUCUAAUAACACCUCCGCACUGCCAAAACCACCAAACCGACCAUGUACGCACCUUCGAUAUGGACUGCAGCAACCACGAGAAAAAACUCCAACGAUCCAACUUUAUCUUACCCCCGAGCAGGCGCACGACCCCCACCUCCUCCUACCUUCUUCCCCGCACGCACAUGCCCGCCGCCGGCGCGCCCCAUCCCGUGCCCUUCUUUGCCGCUGGUGCGCCCCAUCUCGUCGACUUAUUUGCCGCCGGUGUGCCCCUUCCCGCGGCCUUCCCCACCACCUCCCGCCCUGCUCCACCCUCCCUCGUCCCACCACCUCCUUGCCCCGAUCCACACCUUCCAGACCCCAACACCUCUACCAACGGCGCGCGCAGGUCUCCCUCCCACUACCGCCUCCCUCCUCUCUAGUGGCCGGCUUCCCAAGCACUGACGCAUGUCCCAUCUCCCCAAUCCCAGAUCCGCUAGGGGGAUCCAGCGCUCACCGCGCCCAUAGGGUCCCGCGCUACCACGGCGAACUCGCCGGAUCCGGCCUCCCUGGUGGUCGUGGAGUACGAAGACCACCGGAUCCUCCCUCUCCCGCGAUGAUAGGCUCUCCUCCAGCUCGCCUACCACGACCACAACGGGGGGUGGUACCCCCACUACCUGUCUUCAGCGAUUGGGGUCUUCGGCCACUCUCCCCUGCCCGUUCCACCACCUCCCUCUCGACUGUGGCACGAUUAGUGGUGCUGUGCUCCAGCCGGCUCCUCUGGCAAGCUUGCAGACGACGUGACGAGGAGAACCGGCAGUCUCCGGCCAGCGGGUGGCGGCUGCCUCUGUCCUCCUCUCCCCCUACGCCCGAGCAGCAACAGGAAGAUGGCGUUGCGGUGAAGUGCGCCUCUGUUUCCAGUUCCGUUGGUGCCUCUACCGCGCGAGAUGCAGCUCACUUUUUUUUCUCCUAGAAAUCAUCUACAAUGCAACACUCACUAAGAAAGAGAAGAGAACAUCAAUGUUCAUUUGAAGUUUGAUUUGUUGUUUAUGGGAAACGCAUAGAGAAAAGGGUAGUAAGAAUGGAUGGUCAUUUUGUAUAAGCAACUCUUUCCCUAGUGGAGUUUUGUUGGGUACUGCAACAUUGAUUCCGCUGUGUACUAGAUGGCAGUGUGGCUGUGUAAAAAAUAAUGAAUGGAUAUGUAUGUUUUUAAGCUCA